AAAAACAAAAACAAAACAAAGGGGAAUCGUGCUCUUGGAACCGGGACUGAAGAGAGGAAAGACGUGUUGCCAGAGCUAAAUAAUUAAUGUUCCCCUGGGCACUCUAAGUUGCUUACAAGUAGUCAGAACAACAACUUAAGUGUAUAGAGUGUACUUUUGACCGGCGAGGACGUUUCCAAAUCUUAUGGUUUUGUAGCUAAGUCAUAUAGCCAAGUCAAUAAGGUUAGCAGCUCGCUAGCUGGGACUGCGCUGUUUUUGAGAGAGCCUGCGGAAAACGGGAUCCAGCGAGGGAAGACUGUGCCUUUGGGGAACGGUCAGCGGUGCUGUGAGGAGUGGAGUGGAGUGGAGUGGAGACACAAAUCGGCAGUACAGCUCGUGAGUUCUACCGUGGUGGCGCAAUGACCUGCAAUGGACCGGAGUUUCCACAGACCGACUCCACCACUGAGGACUGUAGUGAAACUGAAUUUGACAUCUGAUGUGUUUGAUCUUGCUGUGCAGUCAUCUGUUUUAGAGCUGAUCAAGCAGAAACUUGAAGAGAAAGGCAUGCUGGAGAACACCACAGUGACCUGGAGGGUGCAGCCAGAUGGAAACAUCUUUCACAAGGAAAAUUAAAGGAGUAAGCUGUAAUAUCAAAUCACAUGCUCUGUAUUUAGCAUAUACCAUUUAAUCUAAAGCUUGAGUAAUGUUUCAAUAAUGUAAGCUGCAAUCAAACUGCAGUCUUAAUGAAAUUCGUAAAAAUACAGAUCAUAUUCAGCAAAUCACAUUUGAAUGUAGUAUAAGUUUUUAUGCCUUCCUAAUUGAGCUAGUUGAAUCAAAGGAUUAGACAUAACUAUAUUCUAUUCUUGUGCUGUGAUAUUUCAGGUGUCUAUAGAAUUUUGUUAGACUGCAAGUGAGAUCUGUAAAUUGUGUGAACAAAAUAUUCAUUCAGAAGUUGGAGUGUGUUUAAGAGGAAAGAAUUGUGCAUUAGGGGGAAGUUAACUGACUCUCACAAGAUUUUUUUUUUUUUUAGAUCUUAACAUAUAUAGUGGAAUUGCUUUCGAAAAAUGAAAGAAAACCUUUCCUGUGACCUUCAAAUUGUGUAAACAAAACAGUACACUGAGUGCAGAAUUAUUAGGCAAGUGAGUAUUUUGACCACAACAUCCUUUUAAUGCAUGUUGUCCCACUCCAAGCUGUUUAGGCUUGAAAGCCUACUACCAAUUAAGUAUAUCAGGUGCUGUGCAUCUGUGUAAUGAGAGGGGGUGUGGUCUAAUGACAUCAACACCCUAUAUCAGGUGUGCAUAAUUAUUAGGCAACCUCUUUUCCUCUGGCAAAAUGGGUCAGAAGAGAGAUCUGACAGACUUUGAAAAGUCUAAAAUUGUGAGAUGUCUUGCAGACGGAUGCAGCACUCUUGAAAUUGCGAAGAUGUUGAAACGUGAUCACCGAACAAUCAAGCGUUUCAUUGCAAAUAGUCAACAGGGUCGAAAGAAGCGUGUGGAAAAAAAAAGGCGCAAAAUAACUUCACAUGAUCUGCGGAAAAUCAAGCGUGAAGCUAACAAGCAGCCAUUAGCAUCCAGUUCUGCCAUAUUCCAGAGUUGCAACAUUCCUGGAGUGUCAAAGAGUACAAGGUGUGCAAUACUGAGGGACAUGGCCAAGGUAAGGAAGGCUGAAAAACGACCACCACUGAGUAAGGCACACAAGAUAAAACGUCAAGACUGGGCCAAGAAAUAUCUUAAGACUGAUUUUUCUAAGGUGCUGUGUUCUGAUGAGAUGAGAGUGACUCUUGAUGGGCCAGAUGGAUGGGCCUGUGGCUGGAUCAGUAAUGGGCACAGAGCUCCACUCUGACUCAGACGCCAGCAAGGUGGAGGUGGAGUACUGCUAUGGGCUGGUAUCAUCAAAGACGAGCUUGUUGGACCUUUUCGAGUUGAGGAUGGACUCAAACUCAACUCCCAGACCUACUGCCAGUUCCUGGAAGAAACCUUCUUCAAGCAGUGGUAUAGGAAAAAGUCAGCAUCUUUCAAGAAGAACAUGAUUUUCAUGCAGGAUAAUGCUCCAUCUCAUGCGUCCAAAUACUCCACUGCGUGGCUAGCCAGUAAAGGUCUGAAAGGUGAAAAAAUAAUGACAUGGCCCCCUUGUUCACCUGACCUAAACCCCAUAGAGAACCUGUGGUCCAUUAUAAAACGUGAGGUCUACAAAGAGGGAAAACAGUACACCUCUCUGAACAGUGUCUGGGAGGCCGUGGUUGCUGCUGCACACAAUGUUGGUCGUGAACAGAUAAAGAAAUUGACAAUCUAUGGAUGGAAGGCUUUUGAGUGUCCUCAUGAAGAAGGGUGGCUAUAUUGGUCACUGAUUUGUUUUUGUUUUGUUUGAAUGUCAGAUAUGUUUAUUUGCAAAUCUGGAGGUGUCAUAUCAGUGUACCUGGUGAAAAUAAAUAAGUGAAAUGGCUACAUAUUUGGUUUUUAUUAAGUUGCCUAAUAAUUCUGCACAGUGAAAGUUACCUGAACACAUACAUAUUCUCCUAAAAUGGCCAAAACUAAAAACGCCCCACUCUAACUUCCAUACAUAUUCAGCUUUGAUAUUUAUGAGACUUUUUGGUUGAUUGAGAACAUAGUUGUUGUUCAAUAAUAAAACUAAUCCUCAAAAAUACAACUUGCCUAAUAAUUCUGCACUCAGUGUAAACAUUAUGAUCUGUCCAUUUACUAAUCACUCUUUUCAAUAUUGUGUGCAAAAAGGUCAUAUUCAAUAUCUUUUACUGUCUACAUUAGUAAAUCACCUUUUUAUUGAGAAAUUAUUUCAAUUCGGAAAUGUAAUUCAGUCUGUCUGUACUGGAUGCACCAUUUUCAUACUUUCAUUUCAAUAAAGACUUCAUCCACAAGGUGGAAGCAGAGCACAAAGCAAAUCAUGAACUGUUUGGCUGGGGACUAGCAGAACUAGCAGACUAGUGGGUGUAAGAAUUUUCUUUAGUUAAUGAAUGAUUCUGAAAACACUUUCUAAUUAACAUAGUAAGUAAAAUUGUUAAUAAAAUAAUGAGUUGCCUGACCCAUUCCUUCACGAAAUAUUUCAUUACUCUUGCUUGUUUGCACAAUCCCAGUGUCAAUCACACUGUAUUUCACUAUACAUUGCAAUCUGUACAACUUUGUUUGUGACAAAUAAAAUCUCUGAAUCUUUUGAAUCCUUGACAA